AUGGAGGAGUUUUGUCAAUGUGAGCAUAUCCGGCUUGAUGUUUCAUCAAUAGCUCACCCUCAAUCCAAUGGUCAAGCCAAAAGAGCCAAUCAGGAAAUUUUAAAAGGCAUCAAGCCCCGGCUUUUGGUUCCCUUGCAACGGAUGUCGGGUUGUUGGGUGGAGGAGUUGCCAUCAGUACUAUGGAGUAUCAAUACUACCCCCAACAGAUCUACGGGUUAUACCCCUUUCUUCAUGGUUUAUGGAGCAGAGGUGGUUCUUCCUAGUGACAUCUGUCAUGACUCGCCUCGCGUGGCGGCUUACGUCGAAGCUGAUGAUGAACAAGCACGUCAAGAUGCACUUGACCUGUUAGAUGAGAAGCGUGACUUGGCAGCAGCCCGUUCAGCGAUUUACCAACAGGAUCUGCACCGUUAUCAUAGCCGCUAG
rnacentral:rRNA from 1 species